CGCGGCCUCUCGGGCUAGAGGGGCGGGAGCAUGUUUCCUCCUUGGCUGACCAAAGACGGACGACGGGAGGCAUAAAGGGAGAGCAAGAAAUGUCUACUCUCUGAAUGCCAGUUCUAGAGGCUGGGAAGUCCACGAUUAAGGUGCUGGCAGAUGGCAGAUUCAGUAUCUGUUUUCCCUGGCUCUUUAUUUAUACUGUUCUUUUUCCACAUGAGAUUAGAAGUAGCAUAUCUAUUUUUAAAUCCUAUCGGUGUGGGCUUCCCUGGUGUGCAGUGGUUAAGAAUCCGCCUGCCAAUGCAGGGGACACAGGUUCAAGCCCUGGUCUGGGAAGAUCCCACAUGCCAUGGAGCAACUAAGCCCGUGCGCCACAACUACUAAGCCUGUGCUCUAGAGCCCGCAAGCCACAACUACUGAGCCCACGUGCCACAACUACUGAAGCCCACGUGCCUAGAGCCCACGCUCUGCAACAAGAGAAGCCAGCGCACGGAGAAGACCACACACCACAACGAAGAGUAGCCCCCGCUCGCCACAACUAGAGAAAGCCUGCAUGCAGCAACGAAGACCCAAUGCAGCCAAAAAUAAAAAAAAUUUUUUUUAAAUAAAUUUAUAUUAAACAAAUCCUAUUGGUAUAUUUAUCGGGAUUACAUCAAAUUUAUA